CUUAGAUAUGUGAGAUAUCUUGAAACAUAGAAUCGCUCUUGGAUACAUAGUGAUAUGAUGAACCAGUUAAUCUAACCGAGCUGUGUCAUAAUGUGCAGUGAGGCGAUGCUUCAACUGAAGAGAACGCCUCGGGUGCAGAGUGACAUUACCUGCUCCUUUAAGUGAAGAAUGUAGCUGUAGAUGAUAGCGACAUAUAAUAGAGAGUGGGUGCAGGAGGGAGUAGUGGAUUUGUAUGGUGGAUACCACGUAUGUGGUAUGCACCUACUGUUCAGGAGAAUCCACACCCUCCCAGAUAACAUUAUGGGUCUGAAUAUGUGAGUUCCAUUUAUGUGCUGGCACCAUGAUCUGCAGCCAUUACUGACCAUCUUCAGAGGGAACAUCAUUA